GACGAACGCUGGCGGCGUGCUUAACACAUGCAAGUCGAACGGUGAUGCUCCAGCUUGCUGGAGUGGAUCAGUGGCGAACGGGUGAGUAACACGUGAGCAACCUGCCCCAGACUCUGGAAUAAGCGCUGGAAACGGCGUCUAAUACUGGAUACGAAACUGGCCCGCAUGGGCAUGGUUUGGAAAGUUUUUCGGUUUGGGAUGGGCUCGCGGCCUAUCAGCUUGUUGGUGAGGUAAUGGCUCACCAAGGCGACGACGGGUAGCCGGCCUGAGAGGGCGACCGGCCACACUGGGACUGAGACACGGCCCAGACUCCUAAGGGAGGCAGCAGUGGGGAAUAUUGCACAAUGGGCGAAAGCCUGAUGCAGCGACGCCGCGUGAGGGAUGACGGCCUUCGGGUUGUAAACCUCUUUCAGCAGGGAAGAAGCGAAAGUGACGGUACCUGCAGAAGAAGCACCGGCUAACUACGUG
rnacentral:rRNA from 1 species